GCUCCGAUGACCUCGUGGUUAGAGCGUCCGUCUCGGAUGCGGAAGGUCGUGGGUUUGAACCCCGUCCGAGUCA